rnacentral:rRNA from 1 species
UGCCUAGCCGUAAACAAUUAAUUUACACCAAUAAGCGCCAGGGAAUUACGAGCAAUGCUUAAAACCCAAAGGAUUUGACGGUGUCCCACCCCCACCUAGAGGAGCCUGUUUUUUAAUCGAUGAUCCCCGCUACACCCGACCACUCCUAGCUAUUCAGUCUGUAUACCUCCGUCGAAAGCCUACCAUGUGAACGUUUUCAGUAGGCCCAAUGAUUCCCGUCAACACGUCAGGUCAAGGUGCAACUCACGGAAUGGAAAGUAAUGGGCUACAAUUUCUAAACUAGAACAAACGAAAGACUAUGUGAAACCAUAGCCGCGAAGGCGGAUUUAGUAGUAAAAAGAAAAUAGAGAGUUCUUUUUAACUUGGCUCUGGGACGCGU